ACAGCCAGCUCAAGCAUUCUCUUGCAACAGCUCAGAGCUCCAGUCUCAAGUGAUCAGGGACCACAAUUUGAAACUAACCCCCGUCUCAUCUUCUGCCCCCCAGACUCCACACUGGCCAGAUAUGGGAGUCUGUAAAAACCUUUUAUAAAACUGGUGAAGGAAACAAAAAUCAGCUAAAGGAGGUGGUCUGAGACGGCAAGUUCAGACGCUUGGAAAUCCAGACACCACAGCACUGCCCCACCUUCCAAUCCAAGGAUGCAAUGUGAGAAUCAGGUCCAACUGGAAAGCCAAAGACACAAAAAUGAGCACCAUGGGAGGAGAGGCAAAACGGGAGGAAAAGCAAAGCCAGCAGGUGCCAACAGACGAGCUGCCUCCCGUGCAUGAUUGUCAACAGAGCCCCAGAGCCUCCCGGAGAAGACGGGCGAGGC